CCUGCUCAUGGGUCAGAUGAGGGGGAAUAUUUACAACCUGGCUCCUUUGCCUUGUUGGUCAAGUCACCUCAUUGGACAUUAACUGCUCAUUACUUGUGCUGCUUUCAGCUGUGCCUGAAAAAGUUGGAAGUAAUGUGAGAUGGGUGGUACCAGUGCUGGAACUGGUGUGACAGCUGUGGCUGGAGUACAUGUGGGCUGAGAGGACCCAGGCAGGCCACCAGAGGUGUGACCUACAGUGCAGAAAGAUUCUUUCAGAAGCUGCCCUUGAGACAAGAACUCGGUUACAGGCAUUUGGAAGUAAAAUCAGGAAGUACAAGUGAAGGAAUAGGACUGUGAGAUGGGGAAAGAGAGAGAAGCCAAUACAGGCAGCCCUCAUGAGCAGGUAACUCUUGUGGAUAACGGGCCCAAACCCUCUGAAUAAGCCAAUAGAACAUGUCUGACAAUUUUCCCACCAGGAGAUAAGGAGGUUAGGACAUUUAUCUGACUCCUCUAUUAAGUAAAAUGUAUCCAUGGGCAUUAACUUCCUUAAACUUCCAGUUUACACGUGGUUAAGGCAGAGCAUGUGUCUGUGGUUCAGGAGAAAGACUUUGGGUAUAGGAGAGAGACAUGUGCUCGAGCAGAAGCUGUCAGCCUGUUGAAAACUGUCUACCAUAGUUGCACAUGAACUUGGGUGGGCAGAAAGGAUAUUGGAGAAGCUGGUAUCAACAGUGCCUACUACAAUUAAUAUAUUUCUGAUUUCCU
rnacentral:lncRNA from 13 species